UACGUAGGGUGCAAGCGUUGUUCGGAAUUACUGGGCGUAAAGCGCACGUAGGCGGAUAUUUAAGUCAGGGGUGAAAUCCCAGAGCUCAACUCUGGAACUGCCUUUGAUACUGGGUAUCUUGAGUAUGGAAGAGGUAAGUGGAAUUGCGAGUGUAGAGGUGAAAUUCGUAGAUAUUCGCAGGAACACCAGUGGCGAAGGCGGCUUACUGGUCCUAACUGACGCUGGAGGUGCGAAAGCGUGGGGAGCAAACAGG
rnacentral:rRNA from 1 species